rnacentral:rRNA from 1 species
CCCUUAGAUGUCCGGGGCCGCACGCGCGCUACACUGACGAAUGCAACGAGCUUAUAACCUUGGCCGAAAGGUCUGGGUAAUCUCCAAAUUUCGUCGUGAUGGGGAUAGAUUAUUGCAAUUAUUAAUCUUCAACGAGGAAUGCCUAGUAAGCGCAAGUCAUCAGCUUGCGUUGAUUACGUCCCUGCCCUUUGUACACACCGCCCGUCGCUCCUACCGAUUGAAUGGUCCGGUGAAGCGUUCGGACCGUGGCCUUUGGACGGUUCGCCGUCUGUUGGCUGCGGGAAGUUCGUUAAACCUUAUCAUUUAGAGGAAGGAGAAGUCGUAACA